rnacentral:rRNA from 1 species
AUUGAACGCUGGCGGCAGGCCUAACACAUGCAAGUCGAACGGCGCGGCGGACGGGUGAGUAAUAACUAGGAAUUUGCCUGGUAGUGGGGGAUAAAGUUCGGAAACGGACGCUAAUACCGCAUACUAUCAGAUGAGCCUAGGUCGGAUUAGCUGGUUGGUGAGGUAAUGGCUCACCAAGGCUACGAGCCGUAACUGGUCUGAGAGGAUGAUCAGUCACACUGGAACUGAGACACGGUCCAGACUCCUACGGGAGGCAGCAGUGGGGAAGAUUGGACAAUGGGCGAAAGCCUGAUCCAGCCAGGCCGCGUGGGUGAAGAAGGUCUUCGGAUUGUAAAGCACUGUAAGUUGGGAGGCGUUACCGAAAGAAUAAGCACCGGCUAACUCUGUGCCAGCAGCCGCGGUAAUAC